AACGAACGCUGGCGGCAUGCCUAACACAUGCAAGUCGAACGAGACCUUCGGGUCUAUUUGCGCACGGGUGCGUAACGCGUGGGAACCUUCCCUUAGGUUCGGAAUAACUCCCCGAAAGGGGUGCUAAUACCGGAUAAUGUCUUCGGACCAAAGAUUUAUCGCCUUUGGAUGGGCCCGCGUUGGAUUAGCUAGUUGGUAGGGUAAAAGCCUACCAAGGCGACGAUCCAUAGCUGGUCUGAGAGGAUGAUCAGCCACACUGGGACUGAGACACGGCCCAGACUCCUACGGGAGGAAGCAGUGGGGAAUAUUGGACAAUGGGCGAAAGACUGAUCCAGCCAUGCCGCGUGAGUGAUGAAGGCCUUAGGGUUGUAAAGCUCUUUUAACCGGGAUGAUAAUGACAGUACCGGGAGAAUAAGCGCCGGCUAACUCCGUG
rnacentral:rRNA from 1 species